rnacentral:rRNA from 1 species
GGACGAACGCUGGCGGCGUGCUUAACACAUGCAAGUCGAACGGAAAGGCCCUGCUUGCAGGGUACUCGAGUGGCGAACGGGUGAGUAACACGUGGGUGAUCUGCCCUGCACUUCGGGAUAAGCCUGGGAAACUGGGUCUAAUACCGGAUAGGAGCCAUUUUUAGUGUGAUGGUUGGAAAGUUUUUUCGGUGUAGGAUGAGCUCGCGGCCUAUCAGCUUGUUGGUGGGGUAAUGGCCUACCAAGGCGGCGACGGGUAGCCGGCCUGAGAGGGUGGACGGCCACAUUGGGACUGAGAUACGGCCCAGACUCCUACGGGAGGCAGCAGUGGGGAAGAUUGCACAAUGGGCGCAAGCCUGAUGCAGCGACGCCGCGUGGGGGAUGACGGCCUUCGGGUUGUAAACUCCUUUCGCUAGGGACGAAGCUUUUUGUGACGGUACCUAGAUAAGAAGCACCGGCUAACUACGUG